rnacentral:rRNA from 1 species
GACGAACGCUGGCGGCGUGCUUAACACAUGCAAGUCGAACGAAGAGCGACGGAAGCUUGCUUCUCUCAAUCUUAGUGGCGCACGGGUGAGUAACGCGUAAUCAACCUGCCCUUCAGAGGGGGACAACAGUUGGAAACGACUGCUAAUACCGCAUACGAUCUAAUCUCGGCAUCGAGGAUGGAUGAAAGGUGGCCUCUACAUGUAAGCUAUCACUGAAGGAGGGGAUUGCGUCUGAUUAGCUAGUUGGAGGGGUAACGGCCCACCAAGGCGAUGAUCAGUAGCCGGUCUGGGAGGAUGAACGGCCACAUUGGGACUGAGACACGGCCCAGACUCCUACGGGAGGCAGCAGUGGGGAAUCUUCCGCAAUGGACGAAAGUCUGACGGAGCAACGCCGCGUGAGGGAUGACGGCCUUCGGGUUGUAAAGCUCUGUUAAUCGGGACGAAAGGCCUUCUUGCGAAUAGGGAGAAGGAUUGACGGUACCGGAAUAGAAAGCCACGGCUAACUACGUG